rnacentral:rRNA from 1 species
UACGGAGGGGGCGAGCGUUAUUCGGAAUCAUUGGGCGUAAAGGGCGCGUAGGCGGCCCCGUAAGUCUUGGGUGAAAGCCCUCGGCUCAACCGAGGAAUUGCCUUGGAUACUGCGGGGCUCGAGGCUGGAAGAGGGUAGCGGAAUUCCCGGUGUAGCGGUGAAAUGCGUAGAGAUCCGGAAGAACACCGGUGGCGAAGGCGGCCUGCUGGGCAGUUGCUGACACUGAGGCGCGACAGCGUGGGGAGCAAACAGG